GAUGAACGCUGGCGGCGUGCCUAAUACAUGCAAGUCGUACGGAAAGGCCCUUCGGGGUACUCGAGUGGCGGACGGCUGAGUAACGCGUGGGAACGUGCCCCACAGUGAGGGAUAACGCACCGAAAGGUGUGCUAAUACCGCAUAUGGUCUUCGGAUUAAAGCUUCGGCGCUUUGGGAGCGGCCCGCGUACGAUUAGAUAGUUUGUGAGGUAAUGGCUCACCAAGUCGACGAUCGUUAGCUGGUCUGAGAUGAUGAUCAGCCAGACUGGGACUGAGACACGGCCCAGACUCCUACGGGAGGCAGCAGUAAGGAAUCUUCCACAAUGGGGGCAACCCUGAUGGAACAACGCCGCGUGCAGGAUGAAGGUUUUCGGAUCGUAAACUGCUUUUAUAAGUGAAGAAUAUGACGGUAACUUAUGAAUAAGGAUCGGCUAACUACGUGCCAGCCGCCGCUGUAA
rnacentral:rRNA from 1 species